CUUCCUUCCUUCCUUCCUUCCUUCCUUCCUUCCUUCCUUCCUUCCUUCCCCUGGGAAAUAUUAAUGUUUAACUGUCCAACAGAAAGCAGCUAAGAGUGUCAGAGAGCAAAACCAGAUGAAACUGUUGUGCCAAUAUUCUUGCCAUCUUGUCCCUUCCCAUCUUCCUCCAGCCUGUCUCUGGUUUGCUGCCAAUUUUAUAAUCUGGAUUGUCAAAUGAGCUGAAAUCGUCUGGGGAAGCUUGUACAUUUGCAGCCAACUGUGGCUUCCGAGGAAGAACAAUGCUCUGGAACCAUCUAAUGGGCAAUGUGCGUGUCCCCAAAGUUUGAUGCUUGCUGGCUGCCAUACAAAUUAAUGGGUACCCUGGGUCCUGUCCAUGGCCCCAUUCUGCCAGACUGCUCCUUAACAGGGACACUGUGAAGCUCCUUCUAACACUCCUGAGAUGGCUGGAAGGCUGUGUAAGGAAGUUCAUGACCAGAUAUGGGUAAGAGUUUACUGAGAAGAUCCAUCUUUCAUCCCUUCCUGGUGAGAUCAUUUCUUGUUUUGGACUCUGAAAAUAAUGCUUUCUUGGCUGGUGGUGUGUGUGAGUCUGGAUCUAGCUAUGCAGCUGGUGCCACCGUGGGAGGCAAAUUCUCCUCCACUGGUCUUCUUGAGGGAGCAAAGAUGACUAAUAAAUUUUACCUUCCAAUCCCGGGAUGAUUCAUAAUACCUCCCACCUGGAAAGAAAGCAGCAGCAUCCUAGCAGAAGUAAUAUGACCCAGACACUAUGUGGUGGAUUAGUUUGAACUGGUUUAACGCUGGCCCCAAGACACCAACCAAAUUGUUCUUUUGGCUCCUGGUGCUCCAGAUGGGGUGCUCUUCCUGGAAACGGCUGAUGGAAUGGUUGACCACAAGCCAAGAAGCUAUAUAUCAGGCACUUAAGACAUCUCCCCUUCCUUCAACACUCCCCACUUCUAUCAUCUAAAUGAAUGCAUGUCAGACAUCCGAAGCCUUACUUUGAAAUGGAGCACAAGGGAAAGAGAAGGCUAGGUGGAGCAAGAGAGGAAAGGCGAAACUUAAAGCCCUUUGUUUAUUUUAGACUGUGCAAUUAAGGGAUGGAGUAGUGUGAUGUUGACUGCAAAUUUAAAAAUAAAGCACCAAUUAACUGAAGCCAGCCAUCUGGGCUCGUUGGCUGCUGCCCUCGGGACCUGGCUGGUUACUCCAGGGUUUGCACGCGUCUUGCGCUGCCAACAGCUCAUCCUUGUUGGUGGAGAAAGUUCAUCCAUCCCCUUUGUCUGCAGUGGAGAUGCAAGGGAGUGAGAGAGAGAGUAGGCCAUAGGUGUGUGUGGGGAAGAGAGGUGGGGAGAAGUGGACAGAAGGGUGUUCCUGUAAAUGGUGGGCUCUCAUGUGGAUGUGACUUAAAAGUAUGGUACCGGUGUGUGUAUGGCAGGGGAGGGAGGUUCCCAGGUACCAAAGCAAAGGGCUUCUUCAAACAGUUCAUAGGGAAUCUAUGGGAUUAGCUCCCACAAGAGACAAUGAUGGUGAGCAACUCGGAUGGCUUUAGAAAAGGGUUAGACAACACUGGCGGUAUUUAACUCCAUGGAAAUUAGCCAAAAUGUACAAAGGAGCCAAAAGUAAUUGUCGGAGCAGUUUUUAUUAAUUGCU